GGGUCUGUAGCUCAGCUGGUUAGAGCGCACCCCUGAUAAGGGUGAGGUCGGAAGUUCAAGUCCUCCCAGACCCACCA
rnacentral:tRNA from 3 species